rfam:Schistosoma mattheei strain Denwood, Zambia genome assembly, scaffold: SMTD_scaffold0002019
AUCCAGCUGACGAGUCCCAGACUGGACGAAACGCACGUCCUGGAU